CCUACGGGAGGCAGCAGUGGGGAAUAUUGGGCAAUGGGCGCAAGCCUGACCCAGCAACGCCGCGUGAAGGAAGAAGGCCCUCGGGUUGUAAACUUCUUUUGUCAGGGACGAAACAAAUGACGGUACCUGACGAAUAAGCCACGGCUAACUACGUGCCAGCAGCCGCGGUAAUACGUAGGUGGCAAGCGUUAUCCGGAUUUACUGGGUGUAAAGGGCGUGUAGGCGGGAGAGCAAGUCAGAUGAGAAAUUCCAGGGCUCAACCCUGGAACUGCAUUUGAAACUGUGUUUCUUGAGUGCUGGAGAGGCAAUCGGAAUUCCGGGUGUAGCGGUGAAAUGCGUAGAUAUACGGAGGAACACCAGUGGCGAAGGCGGAUUGCUGGACAGUAACUGACGCUGAGGCGCGAAAGCGUGGGGAGCAAACAGGAUUAGAUACCCUUGUAGUC
rnacentral:rRNA from 1 species